rnacentral:misc_RNA from 1 species
AUCGAAAAAGCUUGAAGUUGAAAGGUAGGUGGAGAAGACUGGGAGGUAUUAUUAUGGUACUUGAAACAUUGGACAGAUAUCAUAUUGUGCUGGGACGUGGAAGCAUGACUUGGAGGGAGANNNNNGGGAGAGAGAGUGCUGAAUGGUAGUUGUCCGUGAGGAUUUUGGAGUUGAAGCACGCAGAAGAGAAGCAUGGAAUGGUAGUUGCGGGAGAUAAUCUCCAGUACACAUU